UUUGUUGUGUUUGUUUAGUUUAAUGUUAAUCGUUUAAUGCUCACACAGCAGCAUGUUUUUUGUGUGUUUGGCUAUUGGUUUUAUAUGAUUUAUCAACGUGAUCAUCAAUAGCUAAUCUGAGCUAAUAAGCUAAUGGGAGAGCUGCUCCACACGAUGCCUCGACUACAAAGUCUUCCAUGUUUCUACGCUUCUUCCUCUGUGUCACAGUUUCGGGAAUAUCAAGAUCAUUGCACAGGGCCUUGGUCUUGCUUUCUCGUCACUUCUGUAACUUUUCAGUGUGUUCUCAACUGCUGUUUUGUAAUUUACUGCCUGCACCAAGUCAAUUGUUUCUUUCUGCAGGUAUUUGUGCAGGCCCUGAGUGGUUGAGAGCAGUGUCUGGAACAGGACAAGCAUGUAGAUGGUACUGCAUUUGCAAAACUUGCUUUCCAGCCCCUUUGCCAGAGGGGCUGAAAGGCUCCCUAAAGUCUUGAUCAAAGCAGGGAGGUUUUUGACAUGCCCAGCGAACAAGUUAUUUGUCCCCUACCUCUAGCUGUUUCUGAAAUGUUUGCAAUCUCUAAUGGUGGAGAAGAAAGAGUAGAGACACUCCAGGAGAUCAACGCAGGAAAGUAAUCACCAACUGUGAGUGAUCUGUUGCCGAGGGGACACUACACCGGAGUUACAUAAGCAGAGGUGGAAGUGUUAGGCUAAAUCGCCUUGGUUUGACCUUCGCAAAUCGGUCGACGACCUCCCCAUGGAGGGUGACAUGCCUGUAUGCCAAUUAAUAUUUUUUCCCCAACUCCAGAAAACCUGUUUUGAAGCUCCUCCAGCAUUCUGUCGAGAACUGGAAAGAAGAGCCUUGUGUAUGUUUGAAUUUUCAUGUUCUCGAAAAGAAUCCAAUGCACGCUUCCAGUUUGUGUAUCCUGAGGUGGUGAGGGUGUCCCUUUGAUCCCUUGAUUGCUUUGGUUUGCCAUAUAGUCUACAACUAAAGCAGAAUGCUGCAUUGGCAGUGGUAGAAUAUUCAACCCAUUUAAAAGUAUCAAACCAACUUGGUUGAAAUUAUCUCUUUUGCUGGCCAAACAUGCCGGAUGGAAAACAGUGAUGUCUCACUUGCCUUGGCCCUGUAUCUGCAGUCCCUAAAUCAGUUCCCCAGUUACCCAUUGACUCUUGUCUGUUCUAAUGUUCCUGUUCAUUGUUGUUCUUAUCUGUUGUAUCUCCUUCUUGUGUGUCCCUUUCUCCUGUUCUCCUUUCUUCAUCCUCUACUAUUUUUGGCUCAUCUGUGAUGACUGUGUAGGUAAACACAAACAAGUAUUUAAAAUCAGUUUCCAGCUCUGUCAAAUAAAUGAAUUUCAAGAUACACAAAUUUGUCUUCAUUAAAAUGAGUGUCACCACACUGUCACAAAAUAUAAUACUAACCAAUUGAAAAUAGUUAAAUUGACAUUGGAAACCUCUUGUACAGUAGAUAUCACUGUUAGUAGUUAUCUGCCAAUAGGAGAGAAUCAUUCCUAUACAAAUGCAGUUUGAGUAAUUCACUUAAUAUAUUUACUUAACACUUAAAUAUAGUCAUUUUCACGUAAUACUCGAAUAGUCAUCUUUCUGCAUUCAAAACUAAGGAAAGCUGUACAAUUUGACAUGAUAAUGAGGAAAAAAGGCCUCCGACAAUGCAGAUUUUUUGAUCAUAUCAAUUUUAAGAUGGGGGUCGAGGCUUAAUAUUUGGGAGCAUAGUGUCCCUUGUCCCCUUUCAGGAGCCCUACUGGAUUAGCUUUGAUCUGAAAUCUUUGUAUAUAAAAAGCUUGUUAGCUGGCUGUCCAUCUCAUAAUGUUCACAUAGAAACUAGCUAUCAAUAGGAAAUAUCAAUCAGAAUUAUAAUUUCAUGCAAAAAUCUGUCACAAAAAGAGGUUGCACAUUUAAAUUCAGGUGUUAUGGCAACGUCAGUGGCCAAACAGCCACAUUUACUGCUGCAAAUACGUUCAAACGUGCUGUCGACAGUAAAGCAGUGACAACUAGGCCACCAUUUAAACUGACUUUUCUCAGAAAUACUGUCACAUAACAUCCAUAUAUUUCAGUGCUAGUUUGA